GAGUUUGAUCCUGGCUCAGAUUGAACGCUGGCGGCAUGCCUUACACAUGCAAGUCGAACGGCAGCAUGAUCUAGCUUGCUAGAUUGAUGGCGAGUGGCGAACGGGUGAGUAAUACAUCGGAACGUGCCCUGUAGUGGGGGAUAACUAGUCGAAAGAUUAGCUAAUACCGCAUACGACCUGAGGGUGAAAGUGGGGGACCGCAAGGCCUCAUGCUAUAGGAGCGGCCGAUGUCUGAUUAGCUAGUUGGUGGGUAAAGGCCCACCAAGGCGACGAUCAGUAGCUGGUCUGAGAGGACGAUCAACCACACUGGGACUGAGACACGGCCCAGACUCCUACGGGAGGCAGCAGUGGGGAAUUUUGGACAAUGGGCGAAAGCCUGAUCCAGCAAUGCCGCGUGUGUG
rnacentral:rRNA from 1 species